rnacentral:rRNA from 1 species
GAUCCUGGCUCAGGAUGAACGCUGGCGGCGUGCCUAAUACAUGCAAGUCGAACGCUUCACUUCGGUGAAGAGUGGCGAACGGGUGAGUAAUACAUAAGUAACCUGGCAUCUACAGGGGGAUAACUGAUGGAAACGUCAGCUAAGACCGCAUAGGUGUAGAGAUCGCAUGAACUCUAUAUGAAAAGUGCUACGGGACUGGUAGAUGAAUGGACGUUAUGGCGCAUUAG